AGGAUGAACGCUGGCGGUCUGCUUAACACAUGCAAGUCGAACGGGCGUAGCAAUACGUUAGUGGCGGACGGGUGAGUAACGCGUGAGAAUCUACCUUCAGGACGGAGACAACAGUUGGAAACGACUGCUAACCCCCGAUGUACUGAAAAGGCAAAUAUUUAUAGCCUGAAGAAGAGCUCGCGUCCGAUUAGCUAGUUGGAGAGGUAAAAGCUCACCAAGGCGACGAUCGGUAGCUGGUCUGAGAGGACGAUCAGCCACACUGGGACUGAGACACGGCCCAGACUCCUACGGGAGGCAGCAGUGGGGAAUUUUCCGCAAUGGGCGAAAGCCUGACGGAGCAAGACCGCGUGGGGGAAGAAGGCUCUUGGGUUGUAAACCCCUUUUCUCUGGGAAGAAGUUGUGAAAGCAGCCUGACGGUACCAGAGGAAUCAGCAUCGGCUAACUCCGUGCCAGCAGCCAC
rnacentral:rRNA from 1 species